rnacentral:rRNA from 1 species
CANUGGGGGAACCCUGAAUGCAGCGACGCCGCGUGGAGGAAGAAGGUCUUCNGAUUGUAAACUCCUGUUGUUGAGGAAGAUAAUGACGGUACUCAACAAGGAAGUGACGGCUAACUACGUGCCAGCAGCCGCGGUAAAACGUAGGUCACAAGCGUUGUCCGGAAUUACUGGGUGUAAAGGGAGCGCAGGCGGGAGAACAAGUUGGAAGUGAAAUCCAUGGGCUCAACCCAUGAACUGCUUUCAAAACUGUUUUUCUUGAGUAGUGCAGAGGUAGGCGGAAUUCCCGGUGUAGCGGUGGAAUGCGUAGAUAUCGGGAGGAACACCAGUGGCGAAGGCGGCCUACUGGGCACCAACUGACGCUGAGGCUCGAAAGUGUGGGUAGCAAACAGGAUUAGAUACCCUGGUAGUCCAAGGGCGAAUUC